UACGUAGGGGGCAAGCGUUGUCCGGAAUCAUUGGGCGUAAAGAGCGCGUAGGCGGUCCGGUAAGUCCGCUGUGAAAGUCAAGGGCUCAACCCUUGAAUGCCGGUGGAUACUGUCGGGCUAGAGUCCGGAAGAGGAGAGUGGAAUUCCUGGUGUAGCGGUGAAAUGCGCAGAUAUCAGGAAGAACACCAAUGGCGAAAGCAGCUCUCUGGGACGGUACUGACGCUGAGACGCGAAAGCGUGGGGAGCGAACAGG
rnacentral:rRNA from 1 species